UACGAGGGCCUCAAGCGUUAUCCGGAAUCACUGGGCGUAAAGGGUCCGUAGGCGGCUAUGUUAGUCUUCUGUGAAAGCCCGAGGCUUAACCUCGGACACGCAGGAGAAACGGCAUAGCUAGAGGGCGUAAGGGGUGCAUAGAACUCUCGGUGUAGGGGUGAAAUCCGUUGAUAUCGAGGGGAAUACCAAAAGCGAAGGCAGUGCACUGGUACGUUUCUGACGCUGAGGGACGAAACCCUGGGUAGCGAAUGGG
rnacentral:misc_RNA from 1 species